GAUUCGGGGUGCACCAGGCGCGAAAACUUUGCAAUAAGCGAAAGCUUGACAGGGCUAUCCCGAGUGCCAUCCGCUGAGGAAGGCUUUUACCCAGUCUAGUAAGCUGGGGGGAUAAGGAGAGGGCAAGUCUGGUGUCAGCCGCCGCGGUAAUACCAGCUCUCCGAGUGGUGUGGAUGUUUAUUGGGCCUAAAGCAUCCGUAGCUGGCUGAGUUAGUCCCCUGUUAAAUCCACCGAAUCAAUCGUUGGAUUGCGGGGGAUACUGCUCGGCUAGGGGACGGGAGAGGCAGACGGUAUUUCCGGGGUAGGGGUGAAAUCCUAUAAUCCCGGGAAGACCACCAGUGGCGAAGGCUGUCUGCUAGAACGCGCCCGACGGUGAGGGAUGAAAGCUGGGGUAGCGAACCGGAUUAGAUACCCGGGUAGUCCCAGCUGUAAACGAUGCAGGCUAGGUGUUUGGGCGGCCACGUGCCGCUCUAGUGCCGCAGGGAAGCUGUUAAGCCUGCCGCCUGGGGAGUACGAUCGCAAGAUUGAAACUUAAAGGAAUUGGCGGGGGAGCACAAUCACUAGUGAAU
rnacentral:rRNA from 1 species